GUAAACCAAAGCCGGAUAUUCCUUAGAGCA
rnacentral:tRNA from 1 species